rnacentral:rRNA from 1 species
UACGAAGGGGGCUAGCGUUGCUCGGAAUCACUGGGCGUAAAGGGUGCGUAGGCGGGUCUUUAAGUUAGGGGUGAAAUCCUGGAGCUCAACUCCAGAACUGCCUUUGAUACUGAGGAUCUUGGGUUCGGGAGAGGUGAGUGGAACUGCGAGUGUAGAGGUGAAAUUCGUAGAUAUUCGCAAGAACACCAGUGGCGAAGGCGGCUCACUGGCCCGAUACUGACGCUGAGGCACGAAAGCGUGGGGAGCAAACAGG